rnacentral:misc_RNA from 1 species
AGAAUGGGGAGCAAAGUGAGUCACCAUCCAGCCCAGCUCGGCUUUACGGGCCAGCCUCGGAGCCAGCUACAGGCUCAGGCACAGGCACAGAGAAAGGCACUGGAAAAGUCGCUGUUCCAGUCCCAGAGCCAAGACGUGGGCUGGCAUAGUGGCGAUGAUGACAACGAUGGACUAUGCGUGUUCUCCUGGGGCUUCCUCAAAUCGUGCUGCCUGUGGCGAGGAUAGAGCUGAAAGAUAUCGAAAAAUCAUAAUUAAAACCAGUUGCAGGUUCUACCGUGCCACAGCCAGCAGGCAGUCAGCAGGCAGUCAGCAGGCAGCCAGCCCAACCCAUAGACGAACACAUUGCUUCUAAUAGUCAAAGUGACACGCUAAGCUGAUUAACUCUAAUCUAAAGUUGCAACCAGGGGGAAAUAGAACGCCAACUGAAAGCGAACACAAUCAGAAACAUGGGACGAGGGAGGAGAGAGGAGGGAGGAGCGACGAGGGAGGAGAAAGGAGUAGAUGAGCUGGGGUAGUGCCACAUGCCGCAACCCGCAUGGGCCCGGACACUUCGGAGAGGGAUGGAAUUUUUAAUUUUAAUGUAAUCUCCCCCGGAACAAAAAUCAUCAGCUAAGCAAAAAUGUUUGAGAAUUCUCGGUCGACUGCAUCCGAGUACAGCCCACAAAAUCAGUUGGACUCUUCAAUCAACACACUUCAUCGUCAUCUUUUCUAAGAAGGGAGACUCGUAGCCUGGAUUCACGAUCGGAAUGAUCUCUAUCAAACGGAGACGCUUUCAUUGAGUUCUACCAUUCGGCGUUCACGUCUGAAAAUGACCAGAGCUAGUGUUGAAUUUGCCGAUUGUUUUCUUAGAUUUUCACUUUCAACUUUUCCACCACGGCACGUGGUCCCGAUAUUCGACAGCUGCAAUGGAAAAGAGCAUAUCUAUGGGGGUCUCAAGUAUCUGGAGCAAAACUCCUUCGGGGCAUACAUGGGCAUACAGAUUUUCCAAUUUGUAGACUUGCAUUCAGAAACAGAAUUCGCUGAGCACUGAGGACAUGCAGCAUAAUUGAUAUUAAUUUUGCAAUUAAAACAUAAACUGAAUAAAAGGUCAGCGGG